AGAUGGGAAACAGCUUUAUCUAAUUGGAUUAAGAGGAAUAAAACACUGGAAGACUUGGGAACAUUGUUCAAAAGGCUUCUAAUCUUAACAUAUGCACUCUCUCCUUAAACAGAUGCUUAGAACUUUGGUAAUAGUUCUUUUUUUUUUUGGUAAUAGUUCUUAAAUAGAUGCUUAGUACUACAAAAAUGCAUAAUCUCAGAACUUAUUAUGUAUCAUGAAAUGUAAUAAUACAAUACAAUUCAUAAUGAACACCUUCAACCUCCUUCCUGGAACUUCUAGAAUUUCCCAUCAUCCUUGUUGGAAAAAUGAGAACCAAUUCUUUUUACUAAAAGAAAUUUAAAUUCUUCAUUUUUCCUUGACAUUAUGCUGAAAAGAUUUUGAUUAGAAGCACAGGAAAUAAAAGUCAUUUAUCCAUCGAAUAAUAUGCUUCAUUGCUUUCUCCAGCAGAUCAUCUCCAUAGGAGGGGAAAUAACUCAGUUUCUGAAGUCUUUAGAUAUUAGCUGUUCUGUUAGGCAUUUCCUGCAAGCUUGUGAACUGAUAUCUCAGUUUUAGGGGGGAAAAAAACCAAUUAUUACUAUUGAAUUCCUUUUAUUAUAUCUUGAUCUUCACCUUUUAUAUCUGUCUCAUCUAGUUGUCUUUAUUAUUAUUUACAAAAUAGUAAAUAAUGAGAGUUGGUUUCACUUAAUCUUCCAUUUUCUCUCUAAAUGCCUGAUAGGCAACCCAAGUUAAUUUCUCCCUCUCUGUCACCUU
rnacentral:lncRNA from 1 species